GACAAGAACAGAAAUCAGUAUUAUAGAGUAGGCCUCAAUGUUCCCCCAAGCAGACCUUAUUUCUUUUUUUUUUUUUUUCCAUUUUUUAUUAGGUAUUUAGCUCAUUUACAUUUCCAUCACUGGAAAGAGAGGCCCAUUGGACACGCAGACCUUAUUUCUUACCAACAGAAAUUUCAAGGAGACAGAGAGGAAGUAAAGGAGUCUGCCUAAAGGAUGUUUAGACACACUAAAAUGAUUAUGUGAUUCCCAAAGUGUUUGCCCACAGUCCUUUCUAAAAACUUCUUUGACUUCAGUGAAAAACUUACUUAAUGAUUGCAUUUCUCUUGAAAUGUUCCCUGAAGAGCGUCUGGUAAAAACAUAUGUCACACCUUCUUAGUUGCAUACAAACUGUGACUGCAGAUUGUUUUUGUCAUGUAAAAUAUGUUUUUCUUACAAAAGCCUUUAAUUCUAUAAAACUUCAACGACCCUGAUACCUAGUGACAUUGCCUUUCAUUUUUUAAGUCUUGUCAACACUACCAGAAGAAGGUGCUUUUUAAAAAGCGGGUCUAGAAGAUUAGUUUUUGAAUCAACGUUUGCAAGAUAAACCUUUCCAAGAUGUGCAUUUGCAAGGGCAUGGGAUUGUGGGUCAGUUGUGUGGCUUGUAACAGCAAAGAUUAGGGAAGGUGUAUGAAAUCAUACAGUUGUGUAGACUUAAACCUGAACUCAUUGUCCAAAGGGAUGUUGAGGCAGAGUCCUCUAGUGUUCCCGGAGCCCUGGAGCCACAGGGCUCUCAUGUCUACCUGCAGCAAUUUCCUUGUCACUAUCCUGAUUGGUUGAAUCUCCUACAUGGUUUCACUCCUACUCAACUGGGACAUUUAAAGCACAAACACACACACACACACACACACACACACACACCAUAUUACCUGGUUCAGUAUGAAUGUGGCAUCAGCACCUUCUCCAACAGAUCCAAUCAUAGUUGCCACUAGAGUAGUUCAUGAUUGCAACCUCAAGUCUCAUUAGAAAAAUUUGAAUUGUCUGGAUGUUUGUUCGCCUCUGCAUAUGUCAAGAGCUAAGAUAACUGUGAUAGUCAGUAAACCACUUAGACCUCAUCUAUAUUCCCCAAAACAGGAGGAGAGCCACCUUAGAGUUUCUCUGAAAUCUGGGAAUAACGUAGACCAACUCCAAGUUGUAAAUCACUCAUACACUUGUUAUCCUGUAUUGAUUUCCAGGGCUUGGAAUUUAUUAUAAUGGAUGCACGGCGGCGGGCUUCUGUAGUAUUUUAGUAACACGGAGAAUAAAUAAUAUGUGCAGAGAUACAGGAAUGUGUGAUGGGAGAAGCAAACCAGUAUCCUACAGAUCUCUGUGGGCAGUAGAUUUGAUACUUUCAAGGAAUGUCGAUGCAAUACUUUUUAUUUAAACUAUAUUUUAUUGUACUUUUUAAAUGAACAGAAAUAUGCAUAUAAUACAAGGUAAUUGAGAAAAUAAUACAAGGUAAAAGAGAAGUUGCAGAUAUUCAUAUUUCCAGGCUCAGAGUUAAUUACUAUUUAUUUACUAGAUAAUUUUAGCCUCUUGUUUUUAUUGGACAUAAAGUAUUUUCAGAGAAGGGGACCUUGCCAUUCUUCCUAGAACCUGCUCCUCCGCAAUCGGAAACACUCUUAUGCGUCCGUUCUCCUUUGGCACUGUCAGAUACACCGUGGGCUUCAAUGGCUGCAUUACACCCUAUAGUUACAAGGAUGAAUCUGCAUCUGUUGACCAAGCCUCUGCUCUUUAUAAAGCCAUUCUCCAAUCUCACAGACAGGGAAGUUUUGCUCAGAUCAGACAUGUAGCACUGUGACUAUGAAAAUCGGCAGACAUAUACUGCAGUCCAACUCAAGGCCCCAGCCUUAGUCCCUCCGUCACAGGUAUACGGCCAGGCUGUUUUAUGUCACUUGACAUUUAAGUGACACUUGGUUUUGUUUUGGAUUCAGCUCUGUGCAAUAAACAUAUCUGUGGAUAAAUCUAUAUCCUGAGCUAUAUUCUUAAUCUAUAUCAUAUAAAUAUAACAAGAAGUUUGCAGGAUGUUUGAGAACAAUGGAGACUUUGACACAUUCUUCUCAUUUCCGUGGAAAAGCCCACCGUGAUUCAUUCCGUGGUCACUGUGUUUGGAAAAUCCUUUCUUAUUCUAAAAUCUUAUGAGUGACUAUUUAUUUUCAAGCUCUGGUAUUUUAUUUCUUUUAAUCUCUUCAGCCAUAAAUUAGAAUAUACGACUACUGCUAAACUACUUUUAUUUAGAAUAUUUAACUUUUACUCCUCACUCAAAUAUUUGUUAAGAACUUAUCAAGUAUUGAUCUUGGGAAUCUAGUUAUGAAGAAAUAGUGUAUACUCCAUUCAAGAGAAGCUAAUUGUGUAUUUAGGGACCAGGACUGGAAAUCUUCUUCCAAUACAAAGGUACAGUUUCCGUGGUAGACGCCAUAAUAGGAAUGGAAAGAAGUCAUGAGCUCAGAGAUGCUUCUCAGCUGUGGGCAAUCAGAACAGUGCUCCUGUCAGCAAUGAAAAUCUAGACUGAAAAACAGAACGUAUAGCUUUCCACCACAGUAAAACGCCAUUAGACUAUCGCCUGUACUUGAUAUUACAAAUGAUAUUAUGGCUCAGUCUAACUCUAUUUAAGCUUCAUAAUUAGUUAUAUUACUGUAAUGUGACUAUGCCAGUUCUCCCCAGAAGUACAUUUCCCUUUUCUUUCACACUGAAGAUUUAGUAGAAUGGAAAUUGCAAAGAAGAGGUAGUAUGGAGUAUAAAUGUUAAACCCACAUAUGCUUAUGUGCCUGUGAGCACACACAUCUUAGCACUUACACACACAUGCUUACACACACACACACACACACACACACACACACACACACACACACAUUCUGCUCCAGCAAAGUCAUUAAGAAGAACAUUUUAUAACCUUGUACGCUUUAAGCUAAACUUAGCCUUAAAUGGGCAUCAGAGAAAUACCAGAAGAUCUGUGAGAACUUUAUGUCUUUGGCACUGGCUCAGAUGGCAUCUUUAUCUUGAAUGCCAUUGAGAAGACAAGGGGGGAGGGGGGAUGGAGCAGACUCUAAGAAGCAGAAGCAAAGGAAG
rnacentral:lncRNA from 1 species